UAGAAAAAUAGGAGUUGAACCUAUAACUGAGAGAUCAAAACUCUCCGUAA
rnacentral:tRNA from 1 species